UACGUAGGGUGCAAGCGUUGUCCGGAAUUAUUGGGCGUAAAGAGCUUGUAGGCGGUUUGUCGCGUCUGCUGUGAAAUUUCGGGGCUCAACCCCGAACUUGCAGUGGGUACGGGCAGACUAGAGUGUGGUAGGGGAGACUGGAAUUCCUGGUGUAGCGGUGAAAUGCGCAGAUAUCAGGAGGAACACCGAUGGCGAAGGCAGGUCUCUGGGCCACUACUGACGCUGAGAAGCGAAAGCAUGGGGAGCGAACGGG
rnacentral:rRNA from 1 species